rnacentral:ncRNA from 1 species
UAGAGUAGCAAAGGCGCGUUAAGUGUUGCGAAACGGGAUGUUGUUCGCAAACGAAAGGAAUUUUCCUGCGGUGCCGAUGCGCGUCCGCUA